GACGGGGCCCGCACAAGCGGCGGAGCAUGCGGAUUAAUUCGAUGCAACGCGAAGAACUUACCAAGGCUUGACAUACACCGGUAACGCCCAGAGAUGGGUGCCCCUUUGUGGUCGGUGGACAGGUGGUGCAUGGUUGUCGUCAGCUCGUGUCGUGAGAUGUUGGGUUAAGUCCCGCAACGAGCGCAACCCUCGUCCUAUGUUGCCAGCGGGUCAUGCCGGGGACUCAUGGGAGACUGCCGGGGUCAACUCGGAGGAAGGUGGGGAUGACGUCAAAUCAUCAUGCCCCUUAUGUCUUGGGCUUCACGCAUGCUACAAUGGCCGGUACAAAGGGCUGCGAUACCGCGAGGUGGAGCGAAUCCCAGAAAGCCGGUCUCAGUUCGGAUUGGGGUCUGCAACUCGACCCCAUGAAGUCGGAGUCGCUAGUAAUCGCAGAUCAGCAACGCUGCGGUGAAUACGUUCCCGGGCCUU
rnacentral:rRNA from 1 species